AUUGAAGCGUUGAACAAGAGGAGUAAACCAGCUCUUUGCUCAGAAAGAAAAUGGCUGCUGUGAAUUUUCCGAAGAACUGGUUGAAGGUAGCUUGCGAGCUUUUGCGAUUUAGCACGGUUUAAUCGACCGUUAACAAUGAUUAAUUAAGUGGAGUUUUUUAACUCAAUUUAGGUGGUACCGCGAGCACUUCGUCCUAUAU
rnacentral:ncRNA from 1 species